rnacentral:rRNA from 1 species
UGAUUAGAGGCAUUGGGGGCGCAACGCCCUCGACCUAUUCUCAAACUUUAAAUAGGUAGGACGUGUCGGCUGCUUUGUUGAGCCGUCACACGGAAUCGAGAGCUCCAAGUGGGCCAUUUUUGGUAAGCAGAACUGGCGAUGCGGGAUGAACCGAACGCGAGGUUAAGGUGCCAGAGUAGACGCUCAUCAGACACCACAAAAGGUGUUAGUACAUCUAGACAGCAGGACGGUGGCCAUGGAAGUCGGAAUCCGCUAAGGACUGUGUAACAACUCACCUGCCGAAUGUACUAGCCCUGAAAAUGGAUGGCGCUCAAGCGUCUCACCCAUACCUCGCCCUCAGGGUAGAAACGAUGCCCUGAGGAGUAGGCGGACGUGGAGGUCAGUGACGAAGCCUAGGGCGUGAGCCCGGGUCGAACGGCCUCUAGUGCAGAUCUUGGUGGUAGUAGCAAAUACUUCAAUGAGAACUUGAAGGACCGAAGUGGGGAAAGGUUCCAUGUGAACAACAUGGGGAAGCCCGUCUGAUAGCGCGUCUCGGAGAAGUCGGAGGGGGCCUUGGGAAGAGUUAUCUUUUCUGUUUAACAGCCUGCCCACCCUGGAAACUGUU